GAUGAACGCUGGCGGCGUGCCUAAUACAUGCAAGUCGAGCGAACGGACGAGAAGCUUGCUGCUCUGAUGUUAGCGGCGGACGGGUGAGAAACACGAGGAAAACCUACUUAUAAGACGGGGAUAACUUCGGAAAACCGGAGCUAACACCGGAGAAGAUCUUGAACCGCAGGGUUCAAAGGUGAAAGACGGUCUUGCUGGCUGUAAUAGAUGGUUCCGCGCUGCAUUAGCUAGUUGGUAAGGUAACGGGUUACCAAGGCAACGAUUCAUAGCCGAGCGGAGAGGGUGAUCGGCCCCCCUGGAGCGUAGACGCGGUCCUGGCUCCUACGGGAGGCAGCAGUCGUGAAUCUCCCGCAAUGGUCGGAAGCCUGACGGAGCAACGGCGCGUGUGUUCUGGAGGUCUUCGGAUCGUAAUGCUCUCUUAUUAGUGAAGAACAUAUUUGUCAGGAACUGUGCACAUCGUGACGGUACCUAAUCAGAAAGCACCGGCUAACUACGUG
rnacentral:rRNA from 1 species